rnacentral:tRNA from 2 species
GCCGACGUGGCGGAAUUGGUAUACGCGCGUGCCUUAGGAGCACGUUCCGAAAGGAUUGUGGGUUCGAGUCCCACCGUCGGCA